rnacentral:rRNA from 1 species
GCUUUUAUUUGGAUACUUUUAAUCGGUCUGCAACGGGCACGCAACGCUUGCUCGCUCGCUUCGGAAACGGGAGUUCGCUGCGGUGUGGUCUAGGAAGCGGGAGCGUCGGCGGCGGCUAGGGGAGGGAGUUUGCGGCGGCGGGCAGCGACGGCGGGGGCGGUGGAGGGCAGCGCCGGCGGGGCGGUGGAGGACAGCGCCCGUCCGCCCUCCUCGGGACGGGCCGGUACCGCUGUGGCGGCCGCCGGAGGAGGAGGGGGGGUGGAAGAGAGGGAGAGGGUUCCCUCCCUUCCCUUACCUUCCCUAGGCCGCCGUUCCCCUCCUUCGCGGGUCUAGGCGUCGGCGUGGCCGCCCGGCGGCAGGGAGCUCUAGCAGGUCCCUCCAGACUGGGCCGACGUCGGUACGUGACUCUGCGGGCUUUGGGAUCGAUGGGCACCUCCAGGCUGCGGAGUUGGAGGUUCCUUUCCUGCGCGCGGCCGACGUCCGGUAGAGGCCGCUGGAGGCUGGUACCAACGAGCCUAGACCUGGUCGACGACGAGGAUGACGAAGUCCACCUGCUCCUGCUCGGGAGGGAGUACCGACGACGCCGACGGAUGAGGGAGGAGGAUGGGGGACAGGACCACACCUCUCGUCAUAAGAAGGUAGGGGUUAGUCUUUAUCGACGAUUGACUCGCGUAGUCAAUCUUCUCUUCAAUCUCGACUGCCCUCACCACGAUUGUCAAAGGUGUUAUUAGCGGACUGUCUAUUUAUAUAUAGAAGAGUAAAAAGUCUAAAACAACAAGUUAGGUCAAUUUAGAUAAUCGAAUGACAAACACCAUAUUGAUAAAGAUCUUAAAUGUUACACCAAAGGUACGGAUAACUAAAUUGAACUACUCUUUUUAAUUUGGAUACAAUAAGUUUUAAAUCACCCCUGGCAAGAACUAAAAAAUUACGUGACGGAUCUUCCAUCGAGACUUAUUUAGAAGAUAUUUUAUUUGUAUAAAAUAACAAUUUAAAACAUAAAAAUCUUCGUCUAUGGUAAGUAACAAAAAAGUAAAUGUUGACGUGUACAAGCCAAUACACAGGUAUAUACGCCAUGCCUCAAAAUCUAUACUUCGUUUGUCAAGUUCCAUAAAGCAUAACCAUCUCGAAUUAGGCACUACACACUACGAAAGAUUAUCGUGACAUAUAACAUAUUAAAUUGUAUAUUGAGCAAUAUUAAGACACUCACUUAAGGCCGAAAAUGGGGGAUUAAUUGGUAAAAGCUGUGAUAAAUGGGGUAAAUUGUUUAAAAGUAGGUCUAAUGGGGUAAAUCACUGUUAGAACAGACAAGAAUGGGGAAAAUUUAAAAUUCUCGGAAGAACGUUUCUAGUACAAUUAAAAUGAGCUCUGAUUCACGGGUUUAUAUGUAAAAAUAAUUUUGUUUUUUUUAGACUAGGAUAGUACAGUUAUUGAAAAAAAAAACGUUCUUAGUACAGUUAUUGACCAUCAUGAUUAAAAGUUACCUGUGUGUAGUAACCUCGAGUGAUUUUUUGUGUACAUGCUGUUAUCGCUGUUAUCGUGGCGUCUGUACAUUUUAUCUGACACCACAAAAACAAACUACUAGAGGGUUUCGAAUUUUAUUCACCAAGGAGGCUACAAAACGUAGUUUCUUCUUUUGUUUUUAUAGUAGUGUACUUUGGAUCUUUGGCUCAUGCUUUCACAAUACGCGGCCCGGGCUGGAGGAGACCGCGAGGGCGCUCGCCGUCCCCUCCGUUUGGGAUGGCGGCGGCGAUCCGGGGGAGGAGGGGAGGUGGGAGGGAGCGUCGGCGGUCUCCGGCACCGGCUCGCUGCGGGGCUGCCGCGGCCGCGGCCGACCGUACAAGUUCACAGCCGACCGCGCAUCUGCCGAACACAGCCGGAAGCUAAGGAGAGGAACAGCAGGCCCGCGAUGAAACCAGCUUCCUAACCUGGAAAGGGUCGUCGCCAGGUAGCGAGCAGAGCGCGGGCUAUCGUCCUGGCUGGAGCAGAGUGCGGGAUGUUGUGCUGGCUGGAGCAGAGUGCGGGCCACGUCGUCCUGCCCAGCUACCUCCGGUCAAAACCGACCGGAUAACCCAGAGCCGCGACCCCCGAUGGGUCCCCACACUUUCCGCCCCGGAAAGGUGAGCAGAGAAAACAACCCCAUGGUCGCCCAGAGCCCACUCCACCACAGUUUCCAGAACCUACGGUCCCGCCACCGGGACCACCACCAUCGUGCCACGUGUACCCGUCUCGGACACCGAGCCACAACGGGCCACCGGUACCGGCCCACCCGCCACACCAGCGGCCCCACACCGCAAGCCACCGGCACUCACAACUGACCCCACUUUUGGACAAGCUAGAAGUCUGCCUGGCCGCCGCCGCUUCCAGCAAGGGAAGGACUUCCGUAGCAGCGUCGAGAGUAACGGGUAGCACAACGAGGUUCCCUUUGAGACUGGGAGUACAGCCCACCACCACCGGGAAAGCAUAGCAUUGGAAGGACUUCCACGGUGGAACCUAGGGUGCCAAACAGCAUACGCCGAAGUCAAGAAGCGCUAUCGCACAAGUGACAACUCCUGGGACCAAUGAGAACAUCACGAUCCCCACCACAACUACACGAGUCACGGAUACAUAGUACGGCACCCACACACGCACACAAUGCCACAACACGCAAAUAUGACCAACACCUACUACAACGAAAUAUAUAUUUCGUCCCGCUUUCGAAAAAACCCAUUGGAUGUUUGGCGUUGGGUGUUACGUUUUAACUUGCAUGAACUGGCGGCUUCUAUUGACAAAGAGAAAGGGAGCUACACCACGAGUGCAUGGACUGUCGGUACUCUUCUUUUUACCCACGCCGAUUUGGUUCACUGGCCCAGCCCGUAACCUUUUUUACGGUUCUUUAGACUACCGCCCCUCAAUCGAUCGUCUAGUGAGAGUUUUUAGAAUGACCCCAUUUUUGACUGUUCUGAAAACGAUUUACCCCAUUAACCCUACUUUUUUACAAAUUACCCCAUUGAUCACAGUUUUUACACCUUCAUUUCCCAUUUUUGACCUUAAGUGAGAUUAAGACAAUUCAGCAUGAAUAUGUAGAAUGUUGGUUGUACACAUCACUAGAUGAGUCGGUGGAAGAAUUUUCACUUUAAAGAACGGUUAAUAUCGACGUACGUUCUUAACUAAAAGAUAGACCAUCGAUGAUCAUACAAAAUCUUCCCUCUAAUGAAACGAAGCUCCAUGUCCUACAACACUAUAAACAAAAAUAGCGGAAGAACAUAAAGACUGUAACUGAAGGAAGAAAAGGAAAGUAAGAGUCACUUGUUUCCUUCGGAACGCGGUUCCUCUUCGCCUGCACCACAAGCUGAUCCGGUUUCUCUCCUGUCCUCUCCUGGUGUCUCUCGUUUCCUCUCCUAUCUUAGUCUCGUGGCAGUGAGUCCGCACCCAUUUAGGCUAGUACCACGAAGUCCAAGUCCCAGACGGAACGAUACUAUGUUACGCCCUCCUCUAGUUGUACUUCUCGUUCCAGAGGACUAGGUUCAGGGGACAGUCCUUCACCAAGUUGUAGUUCCCGUUCCGCGUCCUAAAGGUACGCCUAUUGCUACGAUGAUGGGUUCCUGCCCUACUUCCACUAAUUGCCUCCUGGUCGACGAACGUCUCCCUGUGUCCGCGACGGUUCUUUUCGUCUUGACUUGCCAGCAACUUCGUUUUAUAGCUAGUACAAGCAUCUAGUCCCUUACUUAAACUACACAGUGCGGACUGUUUUCGGGUUCUAAUGUCUUAGAAACACCGCUGCACCUUACAACCACCGGUUACGGGUAGUUCCCCCAACUUAAAUCUACUGACUGAGGUAACAAGUGGGGGACAACUAUAGAUACACGAGCCCAUAGUGAAUAAUGCUCCUGUGAUUUGUUCUUGCGACCCAGAUCGUAAGUACGACCGAUAGUGUGCGGUAAGGGACAGGGACUAGGCCAACACCUUGAUCUACGACUAAAAUUCCAUAGUAACGCUUCUGUACUAUCGAGUAGUAAAAGGUGGUGAUAGUAAGGCUUUGGAAUCAGCCUCAAAUUCCCAAAGUCCUUUACUAUACAAGAGUGUUGGUUAUAACCGGGCAUCCAAAUCACACACGCUGGGACAAUUGUAUCCUAAGUCCGGCUCGCUAAAACUAUCUUUAAAGUUCACAUAGCCUAGUGGUCAACUACUCAUAUAACUCCUCCCAUGUUCAUUACCUCGUAUAAAAAGUGGUAAGGGUAUACCAAUACCAUGAAUUUGUGGAUACCUUCUUCUACUUCUCGUCGGUUUAUGAAGAUCCACAGGUCCAUAACAAACCAACGGUCGUUUGUCUACCAACCGUCUAAAGAGUGUAAAACCCAUGGUCCGUAGCGGCUCCUCUUCAAGUUCCGGUGGUAGACGAUAGAGGCCCCCUUUGGGAUCUAGUCAUCUAGUCUACUACCGCCGCGAUAAAACACAGCAAAGGAGAGCCCCCGCAGUCAGAACCUCCACAAGUGCCCUAGCUCCCUGGUCACCCGCCGAAGAAACCACAUCGCCACGAAGUAGAAUUAGUAACUACCGUCGUCCAGAGCCGCCGCACCACGUCACCUCUGAACCGCGGGCUACGCGCCUCUACCUGAGCGCGUCCUCCUCCAUCGACAGACCGCAGUACCACUGCAGCUACCGCCUCACCGGAAGUGUUCCAUCUUCUGAGUUAUAUAAGACUUCUGCCUGGACACCUUCUACCGACGCUGCUGUGUUCUCACACAGACUGGCCUAACACGGGGUCUGGGCCAUACACCGAGCCGACCCCGACGGCCGAAAACUACAAUCCAAAUCCACUCACCAAACCCAUCACCGGGUUGAUCGUAGGGAAGUAGUAUACCUAUUCUCAUCGCCGUAUACAACGGCUCUACCACCUAAGUCCUUAUAACAGACAUUAUGAAACAUUCCAGGAGCUCUUAUUAAUUAUUUCACCGGCAUACGUAGAGGGUCUACGUCUCCGGCCCCCAGUAGGAGGUAAAGAUUUUUUUUCUAUUCUCGUCGGAGUAUCAAACCCACGUAGUGUAUUAAUGAUACAUACUUGACAGGAUCUUGAUUAGUGUACAUGUGAACAUCCGAAGUCUCACAACAAAGACUUCUUGGUGUAAGUUCAGUAAUUUAGCUAAAAUACUUCUCUAAGAGAGUCAAGAAC